rnacentral:lncRNA from 1 species
AUGACUUCAAAUGAAACUUGGCACAGUUUAAGACGGAGAAGUAGAGAAUAAAAUUGCCAACUGUGGCUGAAAAAUAAGUCCAUAAAAUAAAAAUUGUCAAAUUGAUUUGUGUAUAGCAACCCUUAUCCACCCGACGAUACCAUGCGAUGAUUAUUGUGUAUAAUCAUUGUAGUAUUUUAACUAUUGGAAAUACAAAUCUCGCAAUUGCCUGGUUUUAAAAAAUCGUGUGGUGUCUGUUCAGGUGAGGUGUAUGUUUAUUCAUAAAUAGUUUUUGCAUUGAACUGGGGCCAUGGUUCUCUGUGAUGCUGAAGUCGCAAAUACCUUUUGUGACGUCACAUUUGCCACUUGUAGUACCACAAACUUUAACUAGCCUGGUGAGGGUCACACUUCGCGUUUUUAGUAUAAUGUUUGUCAAAAUGGCGACCGCAGCGAUUUUAGUUUUGACCACUAGGUCAAAAAAGUUCGUGGUACUAUCUAGGGGAGGGGUAAAAAAAUUGAUGUCAAAAACUGCAGUUACGAUUUCAAUGUCACAUUGAAUAAAGGGGCCUGAAUUACUUGGUACAGGUGCUCUCAUUUAUGUAUAAUGCUUUUGUGAAUAAUUAUUUUUUUUUUGUUUAAUUUUUAAUAGACAUUGAUUCGGGUAAUAUGAAUUUAUCAAUUGUGAAACAUUUCAAUGCCACCACAGGAAAUCUAUGAUUCUUUUUUAUUAUUUUAAUUUUAGAACAUGUCUAUACCUAAAUAUUUAGUCGAUUUAGAAUAAUUAUUAGGAAGUUAAUUGUAUUAUUUAAUGUUACACAUCGUUCAUGUGCUAUCACGGGCGCAAUGUUUGGUAUACGCAUACCACCAUAUUGCGCCUGCAUAUUGAUAAAAAAAAAUGUUAUUUAUAGAAAUUGGAAGUACCUAAUGAAACCAAUUAGGUCCGGUCACAAGAUGUACUGCUGUUCUAAAGUAUAUCAAUAUAUUUUUUUUUGUUUGUAAAAUGUUCAGAAUUCGUUUGGGUACAUAUUGUCUUGAUUGUGAAUUAUAAAUAAAUUACUCUUUUACAGCCAA